GUUGUUGCGGUUAAAAAGCUCGUAGUCGAAUUUGUGUCUCGCGCCGACGGUUCAUCGUCCGCGGUGUUAACUGGCGCGCAGCGGGACGUCCUGCCGGUGGGCUUAGCCCCGUUGUCGUGGUCCUGGCGAGCGGGCAGUAAUGCUCGUUCUCAGGUCGCCGCGGCAUUCGGCGGCGGCCCAACUCAAUCCCGCCGCGGUGCUCUUCACUGAGUGUCGAGGUGGGCCGGCACGUUUACUUUGAACAAAUUAGAGUGCUUAAAGCAGGCUAAAAUUUCGCCUGAAUACUGUGUGCAUGGAAUAAUGGAAUAGGACCUCGGUUCUAUUUUGUUGGUUUUCGGAACCCCGAGGUAAUGAUUAAUAGGAACGGAUGGGGGCAUUCGUAUUGCGACGUUAGAGGUGAAAUUCUUGGAUCGUC
rnacentral:rRNA from 1 species